GAUUUUGUAUUGUAUUUUUAAUUACAUUUGAUGUUCUGAACUAUUAAAAAUACUCGCAUCUUCUUUUAUUUUUUCAGACCUGAAAAAUGGCCAAGCCUUCACAGCCAGGCCUCAGACCACGGUGCCGAGGCGCUCUGACGGAGUCCACCAGGACGAAGAGAAAUACAUACAGCAAGGCAGAGUGUGGAAAGCAGUAGAGAUCGACAACAUGGCGGACGGAGGACGGAUAUGAGGACGGAGCCCUGAAGCCGACACUCCACAGAAUGGGAGUCACAUUUGUGUCAGACUCUUCAGGAACGUCCUGAUGUCCAUGACAAGGACAGAGAUGCAACUGUGUCUGCAUCCAGGACCUACUGCCAGUCAUCUGGAUGUAGCUAAAGAAAGAAGCAGCUGAUGGAGGAAGGCAGAGAGUACUGGUAGCAGAGGAGGUGGCAUUCUGGGAGGAUGGCAGCUAUGAGGGGGUGUCAGGAUGGACUGUGGUGAGGUUGAGACCCCACAUUCCCCCAACCAGAAGCUCAGUGACGUCAGGCCUACUCUACAGGAGAGACGUCGGGCCUACGCUACAGGAGAGAUGUUGGGCCUGUCCUGUACGCAGCAUAAUGUUGGAUCAUGUUUGGACAAAAAAACACUGCCAGAUAGUCCAGAAAUGGACAAGCAUUUAUGUCUUAUUUUGUGUGCAAACAGUAAAAAAAUAAAAUUAAAUAAAGAAAAAAAACUUCUGUGGCUCAUUUAUGUUCCUCAUAUAUGAACAUGUUGCAUAUAAGCAAU